UACGGAGGGGGCAAGCGUUGUUCGGAAUUACUGGGCGUAAAGGGCGCGCAGGCGGCUGCUCAAGUCAGGCGUGAAAGGCCUGGGCUCAACCCGGGAAUUGCGCUUGAGACUGGGCUGGCUUGAGUGCGGGAGAGGAUGGUGGAAUUCCCAGUGUAGAGGUGAAAUUCGUAGAUAUCGGGAGGAACACCAGUGGCGAAGGCGGCGAUCUGGGUUGAUACUGACGCUGAGGUGCGAAAGCGUGGGGAGCAAACAGG
rnacentral:rRNA from 1 species